CGGACGGGUGAGUAACACGUGGAUAACCUACCUAUAAGACUGGGAUAACUUCGGGAAACCGGAGCUAAUACCGGAUAACAUGUUGAACCGCAUGGUUCAACAGUGAAAGACGGUCUUGCUGUCACUUAUAGAUGGAUCCGCGCCGCAUUAGCUAGUUGGUAAGGUAACGGCUUACCAAGGCAACGAUGCGUAGCCGACCUGAGAGGGUGAUCGGCCACACUGGAACUGAGAAACGGUCCAA
rnacentral:rRNA from 1 species